rnacentral:rRNA from 1 species
GACGAACGCUGGCGGCGUGCCUAAUACAUGCAAGUUGAGCGCUGAAGGUUGGUACUUGUACCAACUGGAUGAGCAGCGCACGGGUGAGUAACGCGUGGGGAAUCUGCCUUUGAGCGGGGGACAACAUUUGGAAACGAAUGCUAAUACCGCAUAAAAACUUUAAACACAAGUUUUAAGUUUGAAAGAUGCAAUUGCAUCACUCAAAGAUGAUCCCGCGUUGUAUUAGCUAGUUGGUGAGGUAAAGGCUCACCAAGGCGAUGAUACAUAGCCGACCUGAGAGGGUGAUAGGCCACACUGGGACUGAGACACGGCCCAAACGCCUACGGGAGGCAGCAGUAGGGAAUCGUGAGCAAGGGACGGAAGUCUGAGCGAGCAACGCCGAGUGAGUGAAGAAGGGUUUCGGAUCGGAAAACUCUGUUGGUAGAGAAGAACGUUGGUGAGAGUGGAAAGCUCAUCAAGUGACGGUAACUACCCAGAAAGGGACGGCUAACUACGUG